rnacentral:rRNA from 1 species
AUUGAACGCUGGCGGCAUGCCUUACACAUGCAAGUCGAACGGUAACGCGGGGCAACCUGGCGACGAGUGGCGAACGGGUGAGUAAUACAUCGGAACGUACCCAGUAGUGGGGGAUAGCCCGGCGAAAGCCGGAUUAAUACCGCAUACGACCUAAGGGUGAAAGCGGGGGAUCGCAAGACCUCGCGCUAUUGGAGCGGCCGAUGUCAGAUUAGGUAGUUGGUGGGGUAAAGGCCUACCAAGCCUACGAUCUGUAGCUGGUCUGAGAGGGCGACCAGCCACACUGGGACUGAGACACGGCCCAGACUCCUACGGGAGGGAGCAGUGGGGAAUUUUGGACAAUGGGCGCAAGCCUGAUCCAGCAAUGCCGCGUGCAGGAUGAAGGCCUUCGGGUUGUAAACUGCUUUUGUACGGAACGAAACGGCCCUUUCUAAUACAGGGGGCUAAUGACGGUACCGUAAGAAUAAGCACCGGCUAACUACGUGCCAGCAGCCGCAGUAACAC